rnacentral:rRNA from 1 species
UACGGAGGAGGCAAGCGUUAUCCGGAAUUAUUGGGCGUAAAGCGUCCGCAGGUGGCACCUCAAGUCUGCUGUCAAAGACCGGGGCUUAACCCCAGAAAGGCAGUGGAAACUGAAGUGCUAGAGUGCAGUAGGGGUAGAGGGAAUUCCCGGUGUAGCGGUGAAAUGCGUAGAGAUCGGGAAGGACAUCGGUGGCGAAAGCGCUCUGCUGGACUGCAACUGACACUCAGGGACGAAAGCUAGGGGAGCGAAUGGG